UGGCACAGCACACAGUAAUUUACCACCUAUUUAUCCACCUCUCAAUUUACCCUCUGUUCCUGAUAACAAGGAGGACAAGGGGCACAAAUGGGACUCGGAUUUUACAUGUGGCCACUAUUGAAUCAAGGGCUGCCUAAUCUUCAGAGGGAGGUGCUAAUACGUUAUCUGGAUUUGCUGAUGAUGGACAUGAGAGGUUAAGACUCCUGCCCGACACCACACAGCUCCCGCAGGCCAAACAGCAUGGGAACAACUGGGGAAGAAAGGAAAAGAUUAUGGUCCAUCCCUCUCCUAUGUGCUCUGCCCUUCUGCCAAGACGCUUCAGUAACUUCCAGGUCCAUCCUCCUACAUUCCUCCUCCUGGCCCCACUGCCUUUCUUCCAACCUCCAUCUGCAACUGGAAAGCCCAAAUACUGUAGGUGCCUGACGUUCCCCUUGGAGACACUCGCUGUAACUCACUGCCAGCUUUCACGCUCAGACUGGGAACAUCUGUCCCAGUGUCUGAGCAUCAGUCAGGUAAAACACCUGUAUCUGAAGGGAGUCAGACUGACUGUUUAGUGCUGAGCCCCUCUGAGUUCUGCUGGAUAAAGUUUCAGGCACCCUGAACACCCUGCACCUCACGGCCUGUGGAAUCAGACUCCCAGCUCAGUGCCAUCCUGCCUUCCUGUGCUGCUGCUCCCAGCUCACCAGCUUCAGCUACAUAAAGAACUGCACUGCUGUGGCCACCUUGGAUAAGCUGCUGUACCACACUGCUAAGCUGAGUAACUUAAACCAGGAGCAGUACUCUAUUCCGCAGGACAUUUUUCUUCUCCGGGAUUCUGUCCACCCACUGAGACUGGACCAGGUUCAUGAUGCACUGAUGAGGAUUGUGCAAUCAUCUCGACUCCUCCUUACUCAGUUGACCUUGUUUCCAGAUUAGAC
rnacentral:lncRNA from 1 species